rnacentral:rRNA from 1 species
UUUACCCGCUGAAACUUAAGCAUAUCAAUAAGCGGAGGAAAAGAAACCAACAGGGAUUGCCUUAGUAACGGCGAGUGAAGCGGCAACAGCUCAAAUUUGAAAUCUGGCGCCUUUGGCGUCCGAAUUGUAAUUUGCAGAGGAUGCUUCGGCGUUGGCGCCGCCCAAAGUUCCUUGGAACGGGACGUCGCAGAGGGUGAGAGCCCCGUGUUCGGGCGGAUGCCUUCGCCGUGUGAAGCUCCUUCGACGAGUCGAGUUGUUUGGGAAUGCAGCUCAAAACGGGAGGUAAAUUUCUUCCAAAGCUAAAUACCGGCCGGAGACCGAUAGUGCACAAGUAGAGUGAUCGAAAGAUGAAAAGCACUUUGGAAAGAGAGUCAAACAGCGCGUGAAAUUGUUGAAAGGGAAGCGCUUGCGGUCAGAACUUGGCCGCCGUUGCUCGGGGAGGUCUCGCGCCUCCCUCGCUCUUCGGCGGCUGGGCCAGCAUCGGUUCGGGCGGCUCGAGAAAGGUCGCGGGAACGUAGCUCCCUCCGGGGAGUGUUAUAGCCCGCGGCGCAAUAGGGCCUGCCUGGACCGAGGUCUGCGCAUUUGCUCGGAUGCUGGCGUAAUGGCCCCAAGCGGCCCGUCUUGAAACACGGACCAAGGAGUCUAACAUUCGUGCGAGUGUUCGGGUGUCAAACCCGUGCGCGCAAUGAAAGUGAACGUAGGUGGGAACCCCUCGCGGGCGCACCAUCGACCGAUCCUGAUGUCUUCGGAUGGAUUUGAGUAUGAGCACGUAUGUUGGGACCCGAAAGAUGGUGAACUAUGCCUAAGCAGGGCGAAGCCAGAGGAAACUCUGGUGGAGGCUCGCAGCGGUUCUGACGUGCAAAUCGAUCGUCAAAUUUGGGUAUAGGGGCGAAAGACUAAUCGAUCCAUUUAGUAGCUGGUUCCUGCCGAAGUUUCCCCUCAGGAAAA